GUUCGAAGGGGAAAUCCGCGCUCUGACCCGAAUGAUGGUCGAUCCCAACGUGGCUGAGAAGAAAGGGGGAGGGAAGAAUCUGCCGCUUAAACGAGGAGAGAUUCUGGACGUCAUUCAGUUAACGAGUCCCGAGAGAAUACUCUGCCGGAACAACCAGUGGAAGUAUGGCUACGUCCCCAGGGUGGCGCUGCUGCAGCUGGACACUGACAUUUACGAUGACGUUGCCUUUUGUGGU